rnacentral:rRNA from 1 species
UACGUAGGUGACAAGCGUUGUCCGGAUUUACUGGGCGUAAAGAGCGCGCAGGCGGUCGAUCAAGUCGAGUGUGAAAUCCCUCGGCUCAACUGCGGAAUUGCCUUCGAUACUGUUCGGCUUGAGUCCUGGAGAGGGAAGUGGAAUUCCCGGUGUAGUGGUGAAAUGCGUAGAUAUCGGGAGGAACACCAGUGGCGAAGGCGACUUCCUGGCCUGUUCUUGACGCUGAGGCGCGAAAGCUAGGGGAGCAAACAGG